rnacentral:lncRNA from 1 species
CAAACGCAUCACAAGUUGUACAUCCAAUUAUGACCUCUAAGCCAUGGCCGAAUCACACAAACAUCCGGCCACCACUCUCUGUGACAUAAUCGAGUGUCGCACUGCCGGUGUCUUGGAUUUUUCACCGAGUAUGUAAAUUGGAUUGAUUCUCUCAGGUAACCAUUAUAAACAAUAAAACAAUAUUAAACAAUUCGGUUCAUACACAAGGAAAGGAUUUCGAAGAAAUUAAGAACAUCUUACCAAAAUCCUGAUCUAUAUCUUGUUACAUUUUCUACAUGGAUCGAACCUUUCGAUCUCUUCCAUAUCUCUUCCAUGUAGACAGUGCUCCAGCUAGAGAGACUUGAUGCCUUGGUUCCUUCUCACAAACUUGAUUUCACCGUCCAUGGUGUUUGUAGCAAGCUGGUACUCUUGCAAACUCAAGAAAUUGAUCGAUCGGAAGUACCUUGUCAAGUAGAAGAGUGCAGUGCAAUAUGAGGGACUUGAGAUGAAGAGAAGGCCAACAAAACUAGAAAGGACAUGAUCAAAACCGGAAGAAACAUAAGUAUUGAUGGAGGUGGCGGCAACGGUGGCAACAUCAACGGCAGCAACACAAGCAAAAUGGUCAAGAAAACAAGAAAGAUUAUUGAUCUCAAACCGAAACACUUGAACAUCAAACUCUUCACCAUACAAUAAUGCUUCAUUUAAUUCCGGCAGCUAGCCGCAGAUCAAAAUGGGGAUUCGGAAAGUGGGGUGAGAAGAGGUGAGGAGAAUUUGGAUGAGGAUUUUGAACACGAGAAGAGUG